rnacentral:rRNA from 1 species
AUUGAACGCUGGCGGCAGGCUUAACACAUGCAAGUCGAGCGGGGUGAUGGUGCUUGCACUAUCACUUAGCGGCGGACGGGUGAGUAAUGCUUAGGAAUCUGCCUAUUAGUGGGGGACAACAUCUCGAAAGGGAUGCUAAUACCGCAUACGUCCUACGGGAGAAAGCAGGGGAUCACUUGUGACCUUGCGCUAAUAGAUGAGCCUAGGUCGGAUUAGCUAGGUGGUGGGGUAAAGGCCUACUAAGGCGACGAUCUGUAGCGGGUUUGAGAGGGUGAUCCGCGACACAGGGGAGGAGACACGAGACAGACUCCUACGGGAGGCAGCAGUGGGGAAUAUUGGACAAGGGGGGGAACCCUGAUCCAGCCAUGCCGCGUGUGUGAAGAAGGCCUUAUGGUUGUAAAGCACUGUAAGCGAGGAGGAGGCUCUUUUGGUUAAUACCCAAGAUGAGUGGACGUUACUCGCAGAAUAAGCACCGGCUAACUCUGUGCCAGCCGCCGCCGUAA